rnacentral:pre_miRNA from 1 species
UGUCAAAAAUUUCAUUCACUAUCAUUAAAAACUGAUGUGGUUAAAGGGAUAAUUAAACAAUGAUACGUGAUGUGCUACGUGUAUUUCACGCUAACAUAUAAAGACUAGUUUUUCAUAGUAAAAAUUGAUGAAAUUUUUAACA